AAGUGACUUGCCGGCGGAACAGGAAGUGACUACACGACGAACCGGAAGUGGUUUUGUAUCUACAGUCUGCUCUUUAGCAAGCUAAAUUACCUUUAAAAAUAAUUCUUCUUUACGAUUUUUGGAAACGGACCAACGCGAGAUUUUUGUGUCAUUUUCUCCAGUGGUUCUUGGUGCAGCGCCACUACAGGCGCAGAGCGGGAAGACAGCUGAACUGCGCCAGGCUCGGUGAGAGCUGAAAGGCCUGCUGAGAACAAUGGCUGACAUCAGGAGAAACAUGCAGGAUCACCACCUGAACUUCUGAAGGAAGGGAGGAAGGAGGAUGUCAAUAAUAUGUUUGUUAUUGAAAGGCAGGAAGUGAGGAAAGGGGAAAAGGAUGAAAAGCGUCUAUUCAGACGGGACGAGGACACACUUCGAGGACAACAUAUUCAGUCGCUCUCCAGCAGAGACCCACAUUUUGAGGAGGCGAAUUGCAAAUAAAAAGAGACUGGACAUGA